GAUGAACGCUGGCGGCGUGCCUAACACAUGCAAGUCGAACGGAGUCCAGCCUUUAAGACCUCUGGGUCAAAGGGGGGAAGACUGAGUGGCGGACGGGUGAGUCACACGUGGGCAACCUGGAUCAUAGAGGGAGAUAACAGAGAGAAAUUUCUGCUAAUACCGCAUAAGCACACACUGCCGCAUGGCAGAGCGUGAAAACAGAAUCGCUAUGAGACGGACCCGCGUCUGAAUAGCCAGUUGGCAGGGUAAGAGCCUACCAAAGCGACGAUCAGCAGCCGAGCUGAGAGGAUGAGCGGCCACAUUGGGACUGAGACACGGCCAAAACUCCUACGGGAGGCAGCAGUGGGGGAUAGAGCACAAUGGGGGGAACCAUGAUGCAGUGACGCCGGGUGAGUGAAGAAGUUUGGCGGUAUGAAAAGCUCUAGCAGCAGGGAAGAUAAUGACGGUACCUGAAUAAGAAGCCCCGGCUAACUACGUG
rnacentral:rRNA from 1 species